GAUGAAGAACGUAGCGAAAUGCGAUAAGUAGUGUGAAUUGCAGAAUUCAGUGAAUCAUCGAAUCUUUGAACGCACAUUGCGCCCCUCGGUAUUCCGUGGGGCAUGCCUGUUCGAGCGUCAUUACAACCCUCAAGCUCAGCUUGGUGUUGGGCCCCGCCGCCCCGGCGGGCCCUAAAGUCAGUGGCGGUGCCGUCCGGCUCCGAGCGUAGUAAUUCUUCUCGCUCUGGAGGUCCGGUCGUGUGCUCGCCAGCAACCCCCAAUUUUUUUCAGGUUGACCUCGGAUCAGGUAGGGAUACCCGCUGAACUUAAGCAUAUCAAUAAGCGGAGGA
rnacentral:misc_RNA from 1 species